UCAGAACCCGAGGUUACUCUAGGAGUGGCUGUAACGAUGAAACGUGCCUUGUUAAGAUAGGAAAGUAUUGCUCGUAGUAAGACAGUUAAAUUAAGUCAAUAAAACUAAGCAUCCUGAGACUAUUUCCCUUAAUUCAUUGACUUAAAGACCCAGAGGGCAAUUCCACCUUUGUGAAUUUGUCACCGAAGCAAUCAGCAUGAAAUUGUUCUGUGAGAAGCAUUCAGCUUGAUGAUGUUUUCAAGCUUACAACACUAUGAAAUAUACUUGCUUUUCUGUUAUUUGAAGUGCGCUUUCAUUCAAGGAAGACUUUUGUCAAUCUGAUUGGAGCUGCCCAGUGAUUUUAAAAGAACAAUGUGUGACAGAACUGAACUCUGAUGGCGCCGUCACCACCUUACUUCCUCUGGGGCGCGCCGUUCACCGUGGUGACUUGACAAAGAGACCAGCGCCGGUUUAAUUUUGAGCCCC